rnacentral:rRNA from 1 species
AGAACGAACGCUGGCGGCGUGCCUAGUACAUGCAAGUCGAACGAACUCUUCGGAGUUAGUGGCGCACGGGUGCGUAACGCGUGGGAAUCUGCCCUUGGGUUCGGAAUAACAGUUGGAAACGACUGCUAAUACCGGAUGAUGACGAAAGUCCAAAGAUUUAUCGCCCAGGGAUGAGCCCGCGUAGGAUUAGCUAGUUGGUGGGGUAAAGGCUCACCAAGGCGACGAUCCUUAGCUGGUCUGAGAGGAUGAUCAGCCACACUGGGACUGAGACACGGCCCAGACUCCUACGGGAGGCAGCAGUAGGGAAUAUUGGACAAUGGGCGAAAGCCUGAUCCAGCAAUGCCGCGUGAGUGAUGAAGGCCUUAGGUUGUAAAGCUCUUUUACCCGAGAUGAUAAUGACAGUAUCGGAGAAUAAGCCCCGGCUAAACUCCGUGCCAGCAGCCGC